ensembl:lncRNA
GUGAAGUAAUUUCAGUUGUACCACAAGUGCAAAUUAAAGUGGCCAGUUGUCAGUAUAUCAAAAUAAAUAAUGACACAGAAAAAACUGUCUGCAGAUAUACAUUUUAAAGCAUCAUCUCACACCAUUUUUUACACUAAAUUAAAUGUCUGGCCAAUAGCUAAAAUCACUGAUCACUGAGCUAGGAGGUGUAUGCUUUAUCAUUUCCUUUUAUUUCCAGAGCAGCGUGAUGGUUAUUAUUUUUUAUUCCUCUAAGCUUUCUAACUACUUGCUCUAUUUUUCAUGCUCAAGGUAAACAAUGACAUCUAAGGGAAAAAAAUAAGAAAAAAAACAAGGUUUUCUCUGAUUCUACUAGUCCUUCAGGCUCUGGUGUAAAAUUAAACCUAGCAUCAUCACAUUGCCAAAUUCAGACUAUGGAUCUUCCUCAUUUAUCAUCAGAUAUAGCUUUAGAGUCAACAAAGGUGAAAAUUAUUUUUGUUUGUCAUAAAAUGUGACAUACACAACAAAAAUGUAGGAUUUCAGGAACUAUUUCACUCUUUCAAGCACUAAUAGAAUAAAAACAAGAGCAAUGCAGAGAUUAUUGAGUGAAAGUAGUUGAAAGAAUGGGUAUUGGAGCCGAUCACAGGCAGAUCCAAAUGCACUGAGUAGAUAUUUCACUAGUAAAAUGUGACCUCUGGCAGGUGACAAUCUCCGGAGCCUUGGUUUCCUCAAGCGUUCUAGCCUCAAAAGCUAUACUCUUUACCAUGAUGGGCACACCACUCCUUUAUAUAAAACAGGAUUAUUAAUCUACCUUAGUAAGCAGAUAUGUGGGUAUCCGUGCAUAUCAUCACGUAAAAGAAAUACAUUUCAUAACAAUCUUGACUAGGCAGUUUGAAUAACUAAAAACUGAAGCCGAGGAGGGCAGGCCGGUGUGGCAAGUCUGACUGUCAUUUUAGCUGAAUGAAAAUACACGUGAAACAUCUCAUACCAAGGCUGACACACAGCAAACAUAAAUCACGCUACUUCCUUUUCCUUGGAGCGGGCUCUCAAGAAAGAAAUGGAGUGCCCACAGCAUAUCUAAAAUGAGAGGUAGGAGAAUAUUCUCGAUGAGACAGUCAAGGGUGAGAAGCAGCAAAGUCGUACUGCCUUGCUCACAACUUUUUUCCAGGGCUGGCCUGGCAUACACAUUUUCAGUUUAACUGCAUUAAAUGACUUAAUACAACUUACAGUGUAUUAUUUUGCAUUUUGAAUGAUAUUGCUAUUUUUUAAAACGCCCCUUGCCGUAUUCCUCCCCCAAACGACAGGUAAGAAAACCAAGGCCAAAAAUGGAUUACCGAUUUUACUUAGACUCACAGAACAAUUUAAAUUCCAUAACUGCAUGUAAAAUGCAUUCGUUACAUCACAGAUACAUGUGCCAACAGAAUACUUCCAAAAAUACAGUUACAAUCUGCAGCUGGAUAAAAUACUGUUGUUUACAUACACACACCCCACACGCCACCUGCACACUUUUACUGCUAAACCAAGUGCUCUGACUGGAAGUGACUUGCACUAUACUUUUAAAAGCAAACACCCUAAAGGCAAGUAACUGUAUAUUCCUUCCUCCUGUUGCGAAGUAUUUUAGGUUAGCGGCACAAUGCGGUUUCUUUAAGAAGAUUCUAGUCUCUCUUACCCUUACACAUGCCAUGGGAUCAGUGAGUGCCUUUAGAAAUUGAACUCAGGCCAAAGAGUAGUUGAUCUUCUAUGAGCGAAGCAAGAAAAUCCUUUUUAAAAGGGCCCUUCGCCUUUCCUAUGAAAGAAUAGGAAUCCUUCUCCCCACCCUAUUCCAUCACUCUAGUUCUCUGUUGCUGUUUAAGGAUAAAUGUAUUUAUUCUGCAACAGAAAGCCACUUGGUCUUCUUUCUGUAACCAGAACCUGUGUGGCCUCAGCAGAUGAGGGCGGCUGUAGACAGAGGCAAGGAGGAAGGUGGCCACACGGGAGGCUGUGUUCAUCAGGACCUGGCAGACGGUACCUGGGGCCACGAUGAUUGGCACUUACAUAGAGCAGCCGCACGUCUGGUAUCCCCGACAGUUUGGCUCAUCAACUGUGAUUCCAAGCAGAAGAAGUAAUUUUCUCUCAGACUCGCAUAGAAGCCAACAAACUCAGAAUACAGCCAUGAACUGUCAUAAUACUCAUCAACCACAAUCAAAUUACCAGAAGCCUUAAAAAUACUGCGAGGCUCCAUACUCCGAUAUAUUAUUUAAAGUCACAUACGUAUUUUAAAGUAAAAAUACUAUAUCAUGACCUAAUAUAAAGAACUUAGUAUAAAGUAUAAAGUAUAAACUUAGUAUAAAAGUAUAAAGUUCCUUUUUUCCUAUGAUGACUUUUUUAAAUAUCCUAGGUAAAAUUCUAAAAUUUGCUUUCUGCUAUACCAAUGCCCUAAGCUUGUAUUUUGUCCGCAAAAUGAACAAUCUAAUACUGCCACCAACCAUAAUGCCUUUCCUUCUUCCACUGACAAAACUUAAUACGUAAAAUAUUUCCAAAAAGUGGCAUGAGAUGUUUGUUUUGAAACAGACCAGUCUCAAUUCUGGUUAAAAACAGAUAAAUAUCAUUGAAGGGCUGGGGCAUACCAGGGUUCAGCGUGCCUGGUCCACCCAGAUGGAGCUAUGAGUCUAGAACUUGGGAGAAACCUGGACUGGACUGGGGAGUCAAAUGGGCAGUUUAAUCAAGGAGAAGUGGAUGAAAGCCCAAGAGUGUGCAAAGUGUAAAAAGAUCAAAUACAGAACUCAACUGGAUAACCACAUUUUUAAGCAGGAUAAAGAGAGAAGAAACAACUAAGAUCAAAGUCACAGGAGUUCCCCUCAUAGCUCAGCAGUUAAUGGACCCGACCAGCAUCCAGGAGGACGCCAGUUAAAUCCCUGGCCUCAUUCAGUGGGUUAAGAAUCCGGUGUGUUGCCUUGAGCUGUGGUGUAGGUCGAAGCCUCUGUUCGGCUCCUGCAUUGCUGUGACUGUGGUGUAGGCUGGCGGCUAUAGGUCCGAUUUGACCCUUAGCCUGGGAACCUCCAUAUCCUCCAGGUGUGGUAAAAGGAGAUAAAGAAAGAAAGAAAGAAAGAAAGCAAGAAAGAAAGAAAGAAAGGAAGGAUGGAAGGAAGGAAGGAAGGACGGAAGAAAGAAAGAAAGAAAGGAAGGAUGGAAGGAAGGAAGGAAGGACGGAAGAAAGAAAGAAAGAAAGAAAGUAAGAAAGAAAGAAAGAAAGGAAGAAAGGAAGAAAGAAAGAAAGAAAGCAAGAAAGAAAGAAAGAAAGUAAGAAAGAAAGAAAGAAAGAUAGAAAGAAAGAAAGAAAGAACGAAAGAAAGAAACAAAGAAAGAAAAAGAAAGAAAGAAAACCAAGUCAGAACAAAGCAGAGGGAGCAGUAGCCAACAAGGCAAGGGCGGAGUUUAGGGGAGAUGAUGGCAGACCAGGUAGAUGCGGAAGCCAUCAAGCACCUGAGGAGAGGAUGUUUGGCAACGGGAAGUCCUCAUCAACCUUACUGAGCUUCGCUUCAUUAGAAUGGAUGGUGUGGGUGGUAGGUGGAACAUUAGGAAAUGCAUAAAUAUAGUAGGCGAGCACAACUGUUUAAAGGUAAAAGAAGAGAAAAGGAAAAGUUUGAGGGGAAACCAGUGUGAGGAACUACCUUUCUCCGUCCCUUUUCUCUCUUCCUUCUUCCCUACCUUCCUUUCUUUUGAAGGAUUUAGUCAGAGCCCUAAGAAGAAGAAAUUAAAAUACAAAAGGAAGCGGAUAAAAAGCAAAGGGACAGAUGAAGAGCACCUACUGAAACUCUGUUCAUCAAAGGGAAUUCAAGUGCCUUUCUCCCACUCCAGGAAUGAGGGAAGAAAGAAUGAAUACAUAAACAAAUUUAAAAGCCUGCUAAAAAUAAAGUUGAGAGAAUAUACAUCCAGUGGUGGAAACGUGUGGGAAGGAUUCGUAAUGAAAAACCUAGAAAUGCUCUUAAAAACAGAAUAAAACAUUCUCCAACCUUCUUGAAAGAGAAAAAAGUUCUUGGAGUUCCUGCUGUGGUGCAGUGGGUUAAGAAUCUGACUGCAGUGGCUCAGGUAGCUGUGGAGACACAGGUUCAAUCCCCAGCCCAGCACUGUGGGUUAAAGGAUCAGGCGUUGCAACACCUGCUGCGUAGGUCUCAACUACAGCUUGGAUUCGAUCCAUGGCCCAGGAAAUUCCAUCUGCUAUGGGUGCAGCCCCAAAAUAGAAAGAAAGAAAGAAAGAAAGAGAGAGAGAGACAGAGAGAGAGAGAGGGAGGAAGGGAGGGAGGGAGGGAGGGAGGAAAGGGGGGAAAAUUCUUAUUUCACCAUGUUUUAGACUUCUCAAGAGUGAUUAUUUAAGAUGAAAGAGAAGAGAGCUGUUAAAUAUGGUCCUGUGCCCGGGAAGUCAUCCACACCCAGAGAUCUUGACUAGAGAGGGUUGUGGCCAUAUGGGAAAAAACUUCCUCCUUUAGGUGGGAAGCUCUUAGUAAAUACGUUGAUUGGUAAACCUAGUUAAGAGACUCUAGAUGGGUGAGGCAAUAGCAUCUAUAGACAGCAUAAAUUUAAUCCCUCUGGUAGUGCUUAUUUGCACCUAUUACUUCAGGACGCUUAACUUUGGCCAGCUUCCCAUUAUUUCAAUAGGAUCCUGUCUUUUAAGUGUUCAAGACUAUGUCACAUGUGUUUUUAAAAUACUAUUGAUUUCUUAAAAUUUCUCUCCUCUUUCAUGUCCCUCUAUUAUUAACUCAAUACUCAAGAGGCCAAAUUACUUACAAAUCCACAGGUGGCUCUUUGGGACUGAGCAGUUAUGCCCUGGCCUGGGCAGACCCAGGAAGUUCCCACAGCCCCCUGACUCCGCCCCUGCCCCGGGGCGCAGCUCCCCAGUACACAGGGGAGCAGAACCCUGGCUCCUUUAGAGCAGACACCAGAUCUUGGCAGCUUUCUAACCCCACCUCCCCAGCCCCCAUCCCAAGGCUAACACAGGGAUUUAUCCCUUACGGCUAUUCAAUGAACUGACUAUAGUUCUCCUUCUACAUUUUGUAUUCUUUUAAUAUUGUUGUAAAUGUUUGCCUAAUUUCAGUCUAUUUAUGAUAACCAUUAUCCCGUUUUGCUAUUAACGCUCUUAUUUAUCACUCUCCAAGCACAGACUCUAGGAAGAAUUCCUGAGAUCCCCAACAGAAUCAAUCCUUCCUUUGUUCCACUACAUCUGUUUACAAUAUUUGUUAGCCCGCAUUAUAAUUAUUUGCUUUUAAUGAACCCUCUCUGUUAACAGUGAGCUCUAUCAAUGCAAGAACCUCAUCUUACAUAUCACUAAACUCACUGCCUAGUACAAUGUCUAGUACACACCAAGUACAAUAAAUGUUUGGGAAUGAAUAGUCCUGAUCUCACAAUCCAAUAAAACCAUAUGUAGUUCAUUAAAAUAUCAAUCAGCAUUUGCUUCUAAAUAAAAUAACAACCCCUAAAACAUAGUAUUUCCUUUAUGAAAUUUCUUUUACAAAUUAUUCUCAGCAACUCUGUGAAGCAAGAGAAGUGCUAUUAUUUCCAAUCUUAAAUCACAAAAUCACUUAAAGAAUCUAGUUGGCUAGCUCCAGUCAGUAUCAACUUCUUACAUUUAGCAUAUAGACACUAAAUUUCCAGUUUAUUUUGCUAUACCCUUAAAUUGUCCCCAAAUUACAAUAAAACAAUUCUUUUACCUAUUAUUUCUAGAGGUAAUAUUCCAAAUGCAGAAAUAGAUCAUUUAUAUUUUUGUAGGCAUAAUAAACUUCAAAUAAUGCAUUUCAGUGAGUUGCUGAAAAAGAAUAAAUUAUUUUAAAAUAAUACCUAACUGCCAGCAUUUGGUAUGUUAUUUAUGUUAGUUUUUAAAGAUGUAAUUGACACUACAUAAAAUUUACAUUAUAAAGUGUAUGUAGUAGACUCUUGGCUUCCAUUUAUCCUUAUACAGAAUUACAAAGAUUUUUAUUAAGUCUGCUGAAUUAAUAGCAUCUACUCUAAAGUAAGAAGGACAGUAGAAACCUAAAUCCCAUUAGUAUCUUUGAAAGAUGGAAUGAGAGGCUAGAAACUUUUUUUUUAAACUUAUCAGUCCUGUUUCAAGUGAUGGCAUUUUCUGUCAUCUCAUUACAAACUGAACUGACAUUAUCAGUUGCUUCAGAAGACUAAUUUCAUCAAAGCAUAAAGUUGCAAGGAAUAAAAAUGAGACAGGCUGGCUGAAUAUAAGUGCUAACACUAGUGAGAGAAGUCAGUACAUUCAAAGUAAAGAGUCAAACAUUAGUGAGAAAUUUCAAUUGCAUCACUUCAUCCACUGCUCCACUACCUUUUAUACCAUAUAUGAUCUUUUCUAUGAAAGGACUUUUGUUUUUAAAAAUAGACCACACACAAAUAUUUUUACUAACCAUUUAUUAUGCAGUCAAGUCGUUCUUCAGGAAGCUUUACAUAUGAUAUCUCAUUUGUUUUCAUUUUAACCACUGUAUGAGUACUUUUUACAAGUACGUACGAUUUCAAAAUCCAUGUUCCUUUUAGAACAAUAUGGAUUUAAUGUUUUGAAAUUAUCAGGAAAAUGUUAAAUAAAUUUUAACACACACUUGAAAAAGUUCACGUUCUCUCCAAAUCUAUAAAUUUACUUUGGCAAUAUGAAUAGAAUGCUGCAAUGUUCAUCAAAUUUAAUUUUUUUAAACCAAGCUAAAUUCUGGCC